GAUGAACGCUAGCGGCAGGCUUAACACAUGCAAGUCGAGGGGCAUCGCGGGGGUAGCAAUACACCUGGCGGCGACCGGCGGAAGGGUGCGUAACGCGUGAGCAACAUGCCCGUCACAGGGGGAUAACAGUUGGAAACGACUCCUAAUACCCCGUAACAUCAGAGAUGGCAUCUUCUCUGGUUGAAAGUUUCGGCGGUGACGGAUUGGCUCGCGUGACAUUAGCUAGUUGGAGUGGUAACGGCACACCAAGGCGACGAUGUCUAGGGGUUCUGAGAGGAAGGUCCCCCACACUGGAACUGAGACACGGUCCAGACUCCUACGGGAGGCAGCAGUGAGGAAUAUUGGUCAAUGGGCGGAAGCCUGAACCAGCCAUGCCGCGUGAAGGAAUAAGGUCCUAUGGAUCGUAAACUUCUUUUGUGCGGGAGCAAUAAGGGCGUCGUGACGUCCGAUGAGAGUACCGUACGAAUAAGCAUCGGCUAACUCCGUGCCAGCAGCCGCGGUAAUACGGAGGAUGCGAGCGUUAUCCGGAUUUAUUGGGUUUAAAGGGUGCGUAGGCUGUUUGUCAAGUCAGGGGUGAAAUACCUGGGCUCAACCGAGGAAUUGCCUUUGAUACUGGCAGGCUUGAAUACUGUUGCCGUGGGAGGAAUGAGUAGUGUAGCGGUGAAAUGCAUAGAUAUUACUCAGAACACCGAUUGCGAAGGCAUCUCACGAAACAGCGAUUGACGCUGAGGCACGAAAGCGUGGGGAUCAAACA
rnacentral:rRNA from 1 species